GAGUGAACGCUGGCGGUGGGCCUAACACAUGCAAGUCGAACGGCAGCACAGUAAGAGCUUGCUCUUACGGGUGGCGGGUGGCGGACAGGUGAGGAAUACAUCGGAAUCUACUUUUUCGUGGGGGAUAACGUAGGGAAACUUACGCUAAUACCGCAUACGACCUACGGGUGAAAGCAGGGGAUCUUCGGACCUUGCGCGAUUGAAUGAGCCGAUGUCGGAUUAGCUAGUUGGCGGGGUAAAGGCCCACCAAGGCGACGAUCCGUAGCUGGUCUGAGAGGAUGAUCAGCCACACUGGAACUGAGACACGGUCCAGACUCCUACGGGAGGCAGCAGUGGGGAAUAUUGGACAAUGGGCGCAAGCCUGAUCCAGCCAUACCGCGUGGGUGAAGAAGGCCUUCGGGUUGUAAAGCCCUUUUGUUGGGAAAGAAAAGCAGCAGGUUAAUACCCCGCUGUUCUGACGGUACCCAAAGAAUAAGCACCGGCUAACUUCGUG
rnacentral:rRNA from 1 species